AAAGCAUUAGGGGAGCCCACGGCUACAAAAACAAGUGAGUGAGAAGAGGUGGGAGGAAGAGAAACUACGCCACCUCCCCUGCAGCCGAGUGCACGCAGCAGCCUGGCGUGACAAGUGGGCGACGCCGGGGGGCAGGGAGCCGGGGUCCUUGGCCCUGGCCGGGGACCCCACCGCCCACCGCGCGGAGGACAACUUUUAGCCGGCAGCCCAGACCAGCGCGGCACCUGUCUCCGGAGUCUCCACCGCUCCUCCCGAUUCAUCCCAGGGAAAUUCUCAAGAAUACGCUCUACAAAUCUACGUGCGCAUCAUUUUCACCUCGCGUCGCGCCCGGGAGGAAGGAACGAGGCAAGGAGCUAAAGCAGCGUGCGUUCAGCCCUGGGGAGGAAAAUGGAAGAAACGGAGAUACUUUUAGUGAAGCAGAAUAAACCACUGAACAGGAAAAAUGAGGAAGCUGUGAGUACCAGUGGAAGGAACGAGCCAGGAAGAGGGACUGGAACCAUCUCAGAAGCCAUGCCCCUCAGGCUGGAACUUGCCCUGUCUCCUCGCAGAUGAGCUACCUCUUGUGUUUAAGAAUUAAAGGAAGAUGAGCUAGGAAUCAAGAAAUACGCAGAACUGAUUCCUGUCACUGGCGCCACCCUGCCACUUGCCCAGAGCUGUGGUAUAAAUUUUUUUAAUAGGCUGAAAUAAAAAUAUGAAUAGCAUUUUGGUAUUAAGCAUUAAAUUGAUAAAGGCUAUGAGAUACACCUGCUCUCAACCAUGUUAAUUUUUUAUUAUUGGUAUUAAUAAAUUAUUACUUACUAACAUAUUAACAAGAAUUGCAUUGAGAAACAAAGCAUCCACAGGCCAAAUCUUCUGAAUUUCAAAUGUUUAUAUUAAUGCGUUGUAUUCUAGAAAAGUAGAAUUGUCUUAAGUAGCUUUGUAAUAUAAAGUCAUCUAUCAGCCCAUUACACCUAUUAGAAUGUUUUAACCUUUAUUUCCCACUUUUUUGUUUCUAGACUGAGUGUACUUGGUCUGGUAUUUGUGGCAUAACUUACGGAACACAUAAGAAUGAUACAGAUACUAUUUAAUGAUGACCUAAUACAAGCUUAGAUAGCUAAGGUGAAAGCUUCUAUGGCCUUAACAUUUUCCUCUUGAAGAAUGUAUUUUCUGUAAUAAAAUACAGUGGCUACUUGAAAUCUAUAAACUUAUGUGAGGUCUGGAUAAAUCUGAGCAACUUUCUUCUUUGUGCUCCAGGAACCUACGCACUAUAUAUAUAAAUAAAGCUUAAGUAAACAUCACU
rnacentral:lncRNA from 1 species